AGAGUUUGAUCCUGGCUCAGGACGAACGCUGGCGGCGUGCCUAAUACAUGCAAGUCGAGCGGACAGAUGGGAGCUUGCUCCCUGAUGUUAGCGGCGGACGGGUGAGUAACACGUGGGUAACCUGCCUGUAAGACUGGGAUAACUCCGGGAAACCGGGGCUAAUACCGGAUGGUUGUUUGAACCGCAUGGUUCAGACAUAAAAGGUGGCUUCGGCUACCACUUACAGAUGGACCCGCGGCGCAUUAGCUAGUUGGUGAGGUAACGGCUCACCAAGGCAACGAUGCGUAGCCGACCUGAGAGGGUGAUCGGCCACACUGGGACUGAGACACGGCCCAGACCCCUACGGGAGGCAGCAGUAGGGAAUCUUCCGCAAUGGACGAAAGUCUGACGGAGCAACGCCGCGUGAGUGAUGAAGGUUUUCGGAUCGUAAAGCUCUGUUGUUAGGGAAGAACAAGUGCCGUUCAAAUAGGGCGGCACCUUGACGGUACCUAACCAGAAAGCCACGGCUAACUACGUGCCAGCAGCCGCGGUAAUACGUAGGUGGCAAGCGUUGUCCGGAAUUAUUGGGCGUAAAGGGCUCGCAGGCGGUUUCUUAAGUCUGAUGUGAAAGCCCCCGGCUCAACCGGGGAGGGUCAUUGGAAACUGGGGAACUUGAGUGCAGAAGAGGAGAGUGGAAUUCCACGUGUAGCGGUGAAAUGCGUAGAGAUGUGGAGGAACACCAGUGGCGAAGGCGACUCUCUGGUCUGUAACUGACGCUGAGGAGCGAAGGCGUGGGGAGCGAACAGGAUUAGAUACCCUGGUAGUCCACGCCGUAAACGAUGAGUGCUAAGUGUUAGGGGGUUUCCGCCCCUUAGUGCUGCAGCUAACGCAUUAAGCACUCCGCCUGGGGAGUACGGUCGCAAGACUGAAACUCAAAGGAAUUGACGGGGGCCCGCACAAGCGGUGGAGCAUGUGGUUUAAUUCGAAGCAACGCGAAGAACCUUACCAGGUCUUGACAUCCUCUGACAAUCCUAGAGAUAGGACGUCCCCUUCGGGGGCAGAGUGACAGGUGGUGCAUGGUUGUCGUCAGCUCGUGUCGUGAGAUGUUGGGUUAAGUCCCGCAACGAGCGCAACCCUUGAUCUUAGUUGCCAGCAUUCAGUUGGGCACUCUAAGGUGACUGCCGGUGACAAACCGGAGGAAGGUGGGGAUGACGUCAAAUCAUCAUGCCCCUUAUGACCUGGGCUACACACGUGCUACAAUGGACAGAACAAAGGGCAGCGAAACCGCGAGGUUAAGCCAAUCCCACAAAUCUGUUCUCAGUUCGGAUCGCAGUCUGCAACUCGACUGCGUGAAGCUGGAAUCGCUAGUAAUCGCGGAUCAGCAUGCCGCGGUGAAUACGUUCCCGGGCCUUGUACACACCGCCCGU
rnacentral:rRNA from 1 species